rnacentral:rRNA from 1 species
UACAUGGGGUGCAAACGUUGCUCGGAAUUAUUGGGCGUAAAGCGCACGUAGGCGGUCCGGUAAGUCCGCUGUGAAAGUCGGGGGCUCAACCCUCGAAUGCCGGUGGAUACUGUCGGGCUAGAGUGCGGAAGAGGCGAGUGGAAUUCCUGGUGUAGCGGUGAAAUGCGCAGAUAUCAGGAGGAACACCAAUUGCGAAGGCAGCUCGCUGGGACGUAACUGACGCUGAGACGCGAAAGCGUGGGGAGCAAACAGG